UGGCUCCAGUGGCCUGGUGGUUAGAGUAUCUGCCUCUGAUGCAGGAGGCUGCAGGUUGCAGAUGCAAACCUCUGCAGAGACAU